UACAGAGGUCUCAAGCGUUGUUCGGAUUCAUUGGGCGUAAAGGGUGCGUAGGCGGCGCGGUAAGUCGGGUGUGAAAUCUCGGGGCUUAACUCCGAAACUGCAUUCGAUACUGCCGUGCUUGAGGACUGGAGAGGAGACUGGAAUUUACGGUGUAGCGAUGAAAUGCGUAGAUAUCGUAAGGAAGACCAGUGGCGAAGGCGGGUCUCUGGACAGUUCCUGGCGCUGAGGCACGAAGGCCAGGGGAGCAAACGGG
rnacentral:rRNA from 1 species